GAGUGACUUCUAGUGAUCACCUGUGUGGAGGGAACUUGUUUAGCUUCGCUUGAUUUUCAAAUGAGGUGCUGCUUCCUAAGCUGAAUCAUGUGCUCCCAAUUAAUCUAAAGGAGAGACAUGAAAAUGAUUGAUUAUACUCUGCUAGCUGUGACCCUGACAAGAGAGAGAAAGAGAGGGAGAGACAGAGACAGAGACAGAGACAGAGACGGGGUUUGAGACUGCUGUUCCCAAAGACAAUGCAGUUGGGCAGGUAUCAGCCACCAAAGGCUUAUUAAAAAUGGGUCAGGAACAAGGCAUUGAGGGUAAAACUGAUAAAACAAGAAAAGGUGCUUGGUCUCCAGGUUGCUACAGUCUCUUGGGAGAUACAACUGCACAUGGAUGAAUAACCAAGGGAAGAACCGAGAAUCCAAGGCAAGACAACCCCAAAGGCUCCAGGGAAACCUGAAGAUGAAGAGCCCAGUUUUAGCUGGGGAUGUGGGAGCCUGAGCAGGACCUCAAUCAAAGCUCAGAAUUGCAGGGGAAUGGAGGACACAGACUAGGAGGAGAAAGAAUGAGACUGCAGGUAAAACAGAGGGUUCCACCUGGAUGGCUGCUGAAGUCUUCCCCAUCUCCAAGGCUCC
rnacentral:lncRNA from 1 species